GAAGAUCCCUGAGCAGAUCGCAGCCAGGGACCCGCAACUCUUUCUCCUGGAGCGUCUUAAUCAAAACCUGCCAACUCGCUGCUAAUGAAGAAUCUGCAUCUUCCUGUAUGUGAUAAUUUUUCUGUUACAAGAGAAGAUCCUCCAAUGGAAUUGAUUCCUCUUGAAGACUAUGGAAUAUCCAAAAGACUAAAGAGAGAGGAUAUUUUACACUGGCUGAAAUCCUAGCCUUCAUUGAAGACAACGGCAAAAUUGCCAUUAAAUUCAAUGGAGCCCAGAUUUCACCCAUUGUAUUUUACAUUUGUUUUAUUUCUUCACUGUGUAUUUGUAUUCCCCGGUAUUGGAGGGUGGGUAUACAUCCUCUUGUGUAUCAGGUCCGUUUUGCAAAAUAAGGACCAUGGAUGAAAUCCUGACCCCACUGAAGUUAACAAACAAACCCGAAAAACCUCUCAUUGACUUCAAUAUGGACAGUAAUUCACCACUGAUCCUCCAGUUGACGGCAUGCAAGGGGAUUGCUCUGCCCACGCAAAGCCCUAACAGUACUGGGCCUGAAAGAUUUCCCAACGGAGGUGACCUAUGAAUUACUGUUCAUUUUUGUUCCAACUUGAUUUCAACCUCCAACUAUGCAGGUGGGAAGGUACUCCCUUUUUGGGUUGGAAAAAUUAAGCCAUCUUUUGUUUUGUGCAAGUGUCAAAUUUCACAAGAACUUCUUCCUGUUGCCAUAAAAUAAACAGAAAAAAAAAUCUUAAAAUGGGUAAAAAAGUUUAAUUAUGUUUAUUAAAGACUAGAGGUUGGAAUUUCUAUGGAAACACUUGUGCUAGGUGUAAAGAAGGCAGGCUAUUCAUUUUAAGAAAGAGGGGUAUAUGUCCAUUUUUUCAGAUCCAUUGUAAUAGUCUGCACCAGAUAAUCUAUAUUUAGUUCCUCGAUAAUUUUCACAUUGGAGAAUAUUUUAUCAAUAUCCUAAUUGAGUGCCUAAGCCCUGUUCCCUACAGAACAGCUUCUUCGUCAACAUUAACCUUGGCACAAUUUUCAAUCAUUGAUAACUUCAAUAAUAUUCUACCAAUUUUGUUUUCUAAUUGGAUUAUUGACAUGUUCUUCAAUGAGGAUUAUUAAAGAUUGAAGCUGCAAAAUUCAGCCAUUUAAAACUUAAGUAUUUGUAUGGGAAAACAUAUUUUUCUUAUCCUCAAAAGCAUCUGAAAAGGAUCUUGCUCAAAUCUUAAACAAAAACAAACAACAAAAAAAGAUUCUCCUUUGAUCAAAGACCAAGCAGAAAAGAUAUCAAUCCACAUUUUUCUUUUCAGAACAUUCUGAGAUGUGAAGACAAUGGUUUAUCAUCAAAACUGUUCUGCAACCUUCACUAUACAAUUUACUACCAAAUACUAUGAUAUUUUAAGCAUAAGUGCUUGAUUAAUACAUUAAUCCUGAACUUUCUGUUUCUAAUUGUGAACACUGAAUCUCACUAAGAUAAGCAAUAAGCUUAGAUGCAAGUAGAUCUGAUCAGUUAAUCAUGAAGAGAAAUUAUACAUCUUCACAUCCCACUAAUUAAGGGAAAAAUGCAAAUUAAUAAUGUUUUUCAAACUUGAAUGACAGUAACCAGAUUAUGUACAUUGUACAAAUACUAAAGAUUUUCAGCUUUGAAUUGAUUUGAUGUGUGUAAUCAAGCAAUCAUAGAUUAACAGACAGCAAUAAAAAUAAUAUGAGUCAGAGAUCUGGGAAAAUGUCAGGUAAUCAGAAAAGUGAAGGCUAACGGAGGCAAGAAAUGCAGAAAGUUUCAUACCUGAUAACACCCACGGGUUUGAAUUUUGUCUAGAAUGCUCAGAAAUGCCAUUUCUUUUGCUUUAAAAUUUGAAUAUAAAAGAACUAAGAAUAUAAUUACUACAAAAUAACGUUAAACACUUUCAUCAUAUCUGGACAUAAAGAGACAACAAUUUUUCUUUCAAAACACCACCACCAGCAAAUGGAACAUGACCAGACACCGAAGAUUUGAAGACAUUGAUGUUCUGGCAAUAUUCCAAAAAGAACCUAGUUAUGCCAAUUAAACCUGCUCUGAAGUUGGAGUGGAGGGAAUUUUUAAAAGAAAUCAGUAAGGUAGUGCUAACGACCUGUGAAAUUAAAAUUAUAUGGUCACAUUUUUGCCAUUGUUACUGAUAAACAAUUCAAAUAUUGAAAUCAACACUUAAAAAUUCUAAAUGUACAACUAUUUUAAUGCUAGCUAUGCAAUAAAUGUCAUUUUAUGAAGAAUGCUCAAUGGUGGCUGUCGGCUAACAUUUUAGUGGGAUUCUAACUCACGUUAGCUGUGCAUUUACUCAUUUUAGAGUCAGUCCUAUGGUGAGGACUUCCUUGGUAUACUUCAUGGAUAACAAAAUCUUGUAACUCUGCU